rnacentral:tRNA from 1 species
UUAGAGAAAGCCAAAAAUUUAGAGGCAUUUUAUUGUUAAUAAAAAAACUGAGUAAAAUCUCUCUAAA